rnacentral:rRNA from 1 species
CAAUAGCGUAUAUUAAAGUUGUUGCAGUUAAAAAGCUCGUAGUUGGAUUUGUGGCUGUCACGGGCGGCCUAUCACUUAGUGUUAGUGCUUGCCUGUGUCGCCAUCCUUGGGUGGAGCCCGUGUGGCAUUAGGUUGUCGUGCGGGGGAUGCCCAUCGUUUACUGUGAGAAAAUUAGAGUGUUCAAAGCAGGCUUAUGCCGUUGAAUAUGUUAGCAUGGAAUAAUAAGAUAGGACCUCGGUACUAUUUUGUUGGUUUGCGCACCGAGGUAAUGAUUAAUAGGGACAGUUGGGGGUAUUCGUAUUUCAUUGUCAGAGGUGAAAUUCUCGGAUUUCUGAAAGACGAACUACUGCGAAAGCAUUUACCAAGGAUGUUUUCAUUAA